rnacentral:rRNA from 1 species
UACGUAGGGUGCGAGCGUUAAUCGGAAUUACUGGGCGUAAAGCGUGCGCAGGCGGUUCGUUGUGUCGGCGGUGAAAGCCCCGGGCUCAACCUGGGAAUGGCCGUUGAAACUGGCGAACUGGAGUGUGGCAGAGGGGGGUGGAAUUCCGCGUGUAGCAGUGAAAUGCGUAGAGAUGCGGAGGAACACCGAUGGCGAAGGCAGCCCCCUGGGCUGACACUGACGCUCAGGCACGAAGGCGUGGGGAGCAAACAGG